rnacentral:rRNA from 1 species
UACGAAGGGUGCAAGCGUUAAUCGGAAUUACUGGGCGUAAAGGGUGCGUAGGCGGUUCGUUAAGUCUGUCGUGAAAUCCCCGGGCUCAACCUGGGAAUGGCGAUGGAUACUGGCGAGCUAGAGUGUGUCAGAGGAUGGUGGAAUUCCCGGUGUAGCGGUGAAAUGCGUAGAGAUCGGGAGGAACAUCAGUGGCGAAGGCGGCCUGCUGGGCUGUUGCUGACGCUGAGGCGCGACAGCGUGGGGAGCAAACAGG